rnacentral:rRNA from 1 species
UGGGGAAUUUUUGGACAAUGGGCGAAAGCCUGAUCCAGCAAUGCCGCGUGUGUGAAGAAGGCCUUCGGGUUGUAAAGCACUUUUGUCCGGAAAGAAAUCCUUGGCUCUAAUACAGUCGGGGGAUGACGGUACCGGAAGAAUAAGCACCGGCUAACUACGUGCCAGCAGCCGCGGUAAUACGUAGGGUGCAAGCGUUAAUCGGAAUUACUGGGCGUAAAGCGUGCGCAGGCGGUUUGCUAAGACCGAUGUGAAAUCCCCGGGCUCAACCUGGGAACUGCAUUGGUGACUGGCAGGCUAGAGUAUGGCAGAGGGGGGUAGAAUUCCACGUGUAGCAGUGAAAUGCGUAGAGAUGUGGAGGAAUACGAUGGCGAAGGCCAGCCCCUGGGCCAAUACUGACGCUCAUGCACGAAAGCGUGGGGAGCAAACAGGAUUAGAUACCCUGGUAGUCCACGCCCUAAACGAUGUCAACUAGUUGUUGGGGAUUCAUUUCCUUAGUAACGUAGCUAACGCGUGAAGUUGACCGCCUGGGGAGUACGGUCGCAAGAUUAAAACUCAAAUGAAUUGACGGGUCAUAGCUG